rnacentral:rRNA from 1 species
GAUGAACGCUAGCUACAGGCUUAACACAUGCAAGUCGAGGGGCAGCAUGAAGUCAGCUUGCUGACUUUGAUGGCGACCGGCGCACGGGUGAGUAACGCGUAUCCAACCUUCCCCUUACUCAGGAAUAGCCCGUUGAAAGACGGAUUAAUGCCUGAUGUUCUCAUGUUGCCGCAUGGCGAUAUGAGCAAAGAUUCAUCGGUAAGGGAUGGGGAUGCGUAUGAUUAGCUUGUUGGCGGGGUAACGGCCCACCAAGGCAACGAUCAUUAGGGGUUCUGAGAGGAAGGUCCCCCANACUGGAACUGAGACACGGUCCAGACUCCUACGGGAGGCAGCAGUGAGGAAUAUUGGGCAAUGGGGGAAACCCUGAUGCAGCGACGCCGCGUGAGUGAAGAAGUAUUUCGGUAUGUAAAGCUCUAUCAGCAGGGAAGAAAAUGACGGUACCUGACUAAGAAGCCCCGGCUAACUACGUGCCAGCAGCCG